rnacentral:sRNA from 1 species
GGAUGGAUCACCUCCUUUCUAAGGAAGUUAAAAUCAUCAUCUUCAGUUUUGAAAGACUUAGAGAAUGAUAAAUUUUUUUGUAAGUUUUUCUUUUUUUAAGAAGAAGGGCCUAUAGCUCAGUUGGUUAGAGCACACGCCUGAUAAGCGUGAGGUCGGUGGUUCAAGUCCAUUUAGGCCCACCAAUCUAAUAUAUAUGGCACCUUCUUAAAAAAAAGUUCUUUGAAAAGUAGAUAAAUAAGGCAACGAAUUAAAAAGCGAAGGAAAUAAGGGCGUACAGUGGAUGCCUUGGCACUAAGAGCCGAUGAAGGACGCAAUUAACGGCGAUACGCCAUGGGUAGUUGUAAAUAAAUGAAGAUCCAUGGAUUUCCGAAUGGGGCAACCUACUGCAAUAAACUUGUAGUUUUUUUAGUUUUACAACUAAAAAAGGGAACGCAGUGAACUGAAAUAUCUAAGUAACUGUAGGAAAAGAAAGUAACAACGAUUCUGGAAGUAGCGACGAGCGAAACCGGAACAGCCUGAUACGAACACUAGUUACCAAAUUUUAAAUAACUUGAAAUUUUUGGAAAGAAAUACCGAAGAAGGUGAAAGUCCUGUAAAGGUAAUUUAAAAUCUAGCGUAUCGAAAAGUACGGCGAGACACGAGAAAUCUUGUUGGAAGACGGGAGGACCAUCUCCCAAAGCUAAAUACUCCUUAGUGACCGAUAGUGAACUAGUACCGUGAGGGAAAGGCGAA